CUGUUGUUUUCUUCAGCUGCAUAUGAACCAGACUGUCUCAUCCCUUGUUUUUAAUUCCUUAUCCUUGAUAUAAAACUCAUAUCUGCCUGGCAGAGCUUUUCACCCCGACCUGCUUCAUUAUUGAUUGUCUUACAAGCUCUCUGUAU